rnacentral:lncRNA from 1 species
UCUGGCUCCUUGAAAAUCAAGGGUUGUAUGAUAUAUUGAUGGAUGGAAGAACUUAACUUUACCGGUGCAGGGUCCAAGUCAUCAAUGGUUAAUACGUCGCCUUUAUCUGACUCACUUAAGAAUUUGAUUUGAUUGCCCAAUAUUCCAAUAGUCGUUCCACAGGUUAGCCAUGGCUGCUGCCCCUUCUUCUCUGGUCACGGUGUUUGACAUUGGUAAAGGUUGGUAAGAUAGAUCAACACCUCUCAUGACGAAUCCUUCUGGACAUUCUCGGCACCUAACUCCAAGACCUUCUUGGCUAAAGUUCUUGUUGGUAAGCCAUUUGCAUUUUGGCCGGUCAAGAUGACCCAUCCAAUGUCGUCAUUGUAAUCCAUGCUUGCAUGGCAUGGGUUUCGAUAGGCUUCUCAUCGGUCGAGUGUAUUGACACCUUUUGGCCAUCCUAGAAGAAGAGUAACUGGAAGAGUGAUGAUGGUAUGUAGCCAGACUUAUGGAUCCAGUCUCUGCCAAGUAAUAUGUUGUAUUCUACGUUCGACUCUACAACAUAGAAGGCCGAUACUUCGGUUUGAUCGGCCAUGGUAAGUUUUAAUGACAAUACUCCAAUAGUCUUGGAUUUAUCGCCGACAAAGCUACUCAUAACUACGUCG